AGUGAACGCUGGCGGUAGGCCUAACACAUGCAAGUCGAACGGCAGCACAGUAAGAGCUUGCUCUUACGGGUGGCGAGUGGCGGACGGGUGAGGAAUACAUCGGAAUCUACUUUUUCGUGGGGGAUAACGUCGGGAAACUUACGCUAAUACCGCAUACGGCCUACGGGUGAAAGCAGGGGAUCUUCGGACCUUGCGCGAUUGAAUGAGCCGAUGUCGGAUUAGCUAGUUGGCGGGGUAAAGGCCCACCAAGGCGACGAUCCGUAGCUGGUCUGAGAGGAUGAUCAGCCAGACUGGAACUGAGACACGGUCCAGACUCCUACGGGAGGCAGCAGUGGGGAAUAUUGGACAAGGGGGGCAAGCCUGAUCCAGCCAUACCGCGUGGGUGAAGAAGGCCUUCGGGUUGGAAAGCCCUUUUGUUGGGAAAGAAAAGCAGCAGGUUAAUACCCCGCUGUUAUGACGGUACCCAAAGAAUAAGCACCGGCUAACUUCGUG
rnacentral:rRNA from 1 species